rnacentral:rRNA from 1 species
UACGUAGGGAGCAAGCGUUAUCCGGAUUUACUGGGUGUAAGGGAGCGUAGGCGGCCUUGCAAGUCAGAUGUGAAAGCCCGGGGCUCAACUCCGGGACUGCAUUUGAAACUGCGAGGCUGGAGUACAGGAGAGGCAGGCGGAAUUCCUAGUGUAGCGGUGAAAUGCGUAGAUAUUAGGAAGAACACCGGUGGCGAAGGCGGCCUGCUGGACUGGAUACUGACGCUGAGGCUCGAAAGCGUGGGGAGCAAAC